GAGAUUUAGUCAUACUGUUAGGUAGUGGCGGACCCAAGUACUGGCGAGCUAAGGCCGGCAGUGGAGAAUCUAGGUACUGACGAGCUAUGACGGUCGUCCUAGCUGGAUCCGCCGUAAUGUUCAUUAUUGCAGUCGUUAGCAGGCUUGUCCACCGGGAAGAAACUUGAAAAGCAAAGCUGCAGAGGCUGAAGAAAGCAAAGAUGAAGAAGAUGAUGCUACGAAAUUGGGCCUACUCCCCCCACAUUUUGGGCCUUUUUAAAAAAAAUUGAGGCCCAAAUCCAAUGGCCCAAUACCUUGAAAUUAAUGGACGGCUGGAGUGGAUAUGUUUCCAUUGCAUUUACCAAUUCGAAGAGUCCAAACUCCAAAAUUUAAACCAAUCAACCAAGGGCUAAACGGAACUGCUGAAGGCGAAGGGCGAUUGCGAAGACAGUGGACUGGUGCCUGGCAAAGUGGUGCGAGUUGAGUGGAUGGUGAGUCGAUGACCGGUGAGCCGUGAGCAACAAGGAGGUGGACGAUGGAGUGGUGUGAUCGUGCGAGUUGAGUGAACGUCAAUGACUGCGAGUGCGACUCCUUGCCUUGGUGAGCUAUUCAGGCUUUUAUUUAUUUUUAUUUAUUUUUGAUUUUGAUGAUUUAAUUUGAUUGUUAUGUUAAAUGUGAUGAUUAUGAUUUAUGAAAAUUGGGGAAUUUGUAAAUUUUGUAAAUAUGUGAAUUGGGAAUUUUAUGAUUUGUGAGAAAUGUUCAAUUUGUGUUGGAAAUUGAUUAUAGUUUAAGUCUUUAAGAUUAAGUUUAAUUUUCAUAUAGAUUAUGUUAAUUGGGAAAAUUACUACCGAUCUUGAUUCUUGAGGUUAAUCGACACUUUUGUCUUCAUUUUAAUUUUUUUUUUUUUUUUUGGCAUUGAGGUGAGGUCUCUGUAUGAUGAAUAAAUGAGAGUUGUGAUUUGUGAUUUAAGAUAAAUAAUUUAUGUUGUAUGAGUUAUGAGUUAUAAUUUAUCAUUCAUAAUAUUUGAUUGGUGAUUUGAGAAUUUAUGAGACCCAUAGAAUGCCGUUGUCUAAGUUUAUAGUAUCGUACAUUUUUUUUAGUAUUUUGGGUUGUAUUGAAUUAUAUUUUCAUAUGUAUAUACUUUUUUAUAUUUUAGUGCAUUUACA
rnacentral:lncRNA from 1 species